AAAGAGAGCCGUAACACAGGUGCUGCAUGGCUGUCGUCAGCUCGUGUCGUGAGAUGUUGGGUUAAGUCCCGCAACGAGCGCAACCCUUGUCAUUAGUUGCUACAUUCAGUUGGGCACUCUAAUGAGACUGCCGGUGACAAGCCGGAGGAAGGUGGGAUGACGUCAAGUCCUCAUGGCCCUUAUAGGUGGGGCUACACACGUCAUACAAUGGCUGGUACAAAGGGUUGCCAACCCGCGAGGGGGAGCCAAUCCCAUAAAGCCAGUCGUAGUCCGGAUCGUAGUCUGCAACUCGACUACGUGAAGUCGGAAUCGCUAGUAAUCGUGGAUCAGAAUGUCACGGUGAAUACGUUCCCGGGUCUU
rnacentral:rRNA from 1 species